UCCAGAUGUGUGAUAUGGCCCAUCCAGGUGAGGACCCAUCCAGGUGUGUGAUAUGGCCCAUCCAGGUGUGAUAUGGCCCAUCCAGAUGUGUGACACGGCCCGCCCAGAUGUGCACCCAGGCACGUGGUCCCACUCCACCCCGACGUGCACGGGCACGUGUGUUCCUGCUGCACGCAGGCAUGCACCAAUCCACGUCCCCGCUGCAUCCAGGCAGCGCUGCAGAGCCCGACGUGCACCGACCGCCCUCCCGUGCAGCCCCACAAACCUCCGUGCCCCCAUUCCCUCACCCCAAACAGCAGAGCAAAUCAUUUCCCCCCUUCCCAACCCAACGCCACGGCAGUGCCCGGAGCCCCCCCCCCAACCCCAUGGCGUCCACGUCCACAAAUAAAUUAAGGCGGCGGUGGUGA